UUCCGGUUGAUCCUGCCGGAGGACAUUGCUAUUGGGAUUCGAUUUAGCCAUGCUAGUUGUACGAACUUAGAUUCGUAGCGAAUAGCUCAGUAACACGUGGCCAAGCUACCCUUCAGACCACACUAACCUCGGGAAACUGAGGCUAAUAGUGGAUGCGGUAUGCACGCUGGAAUGCGGCAUACUCCAAACGCUCCGGCGCUGAAGGAUGCGGCUGCGGCCGAUUAGGUAGACGGUGGGGUAACGGCCCACCGUGCCAAUAAUUGGUACGGGUGAUGAGAGUCAGAGCCCGGAGACGGAAUCUGAGACAAGAUUCCGGGCCCUACGGGGCGCAGCAGGCGCGAAACCUUUACACUGCACGAUAGUGCGAUAAGGGGACUCCAAGUGCGAGGGCAUACAGUCCUCGCUUUUCUGGACCGUAAGGUGGUCCAGGAAUAAGUGCUGGGCAAGACCGGUGCCAGCCGCCGCGGUAAUACCGGCAGCACAAGUGAUGGCCAAUCUUAUUGGGCCUAAAGCGUCCGUAGCUGGCCGAGCAGGUCCGUCGGGAAAUCCACGUGCUCAACGCGUGGGCGUCCGGCGGAAACCACUCGGCUUGGGGCCGGAGGACUCGAGGGGUACGUCUGGGGUAGGAGUGAAAUCCCGUAAUCCUGGACGGACCGCCGAUGGCGAAAGCACCUCGAGAGGACGGACCCGACAGUGAGGGACGAAAGCCAGGGUCUCGAACCGGAUUAGAUACCCGGGUAGUCCUGGCCGUAAACGAUGUUCGCUAGGUGUGGCGUCGACUACGAGUCGGCGCUGUGCCGCAGGGAAGCCGCUAAGCGAACCGCCUGGGAAGUACGUCCGCAAGGAUGAAACUUUAAAGGAAUUGG
rnacentral:rRNA from 1 species